rnacentral:tRNA from 1 species
AGGGUAGUAUAUCAAUUGGUCAGAUUACCACAUUUGGGAUGUGGAGGCUCCCGGUUCAAGUUCGGGUUACCCUAC